rnacentral:rRNA from 1 species
UACGAAGGGGGCUAGCGUUGCUCGGAAUCACUGGGAGUAAAGGGUGCGUAGGCGGGGUUUUAAGUCAGGGGUGAAAUCCUGGAGCUCAACUCCAGAACUGCCUUUGAUACUGAAGAUCUUGAGUUCGGGAGAGGUGAGUGGAACUGCGAGUGUAGAGGUGAAAUUCGUAGAUAUUCGCAAGAACACCAGUGGCGAAGGCGGCUCACUGGCCCGAUACUGACGCUGAGGCACGAAAGCGUGGGGAGCAAACAGG